rnacentral:rRNA from 1 species
UCCGUAGGCGGGCGUCUAAGUCAGUGGUGAAAUCUUACAGCUCAACUGUAAAAUUGCCAUUGAUACUGGAUGUCUUGAAUUAGUGUGAAGUGGUUAGAAUGUGUAGUGUAGCGGUGAAAUGCAUAGAUAUUACACAGAAUACCAAUUGCGAAGGGAGAUCACUAACACUAUAUUGACGCUGAGGGACGAAAGCGUGGGGAGCGAACAGGAUUAGAUACCCUGGUAGUCC